rnacentral:rRNA from 1 species
GUCUACAGCCAUGCUACCCUGAACAAGCCCGAUCUUGUCUGAUCUCAGAAGCUAAGCAGGGUCAGGUCUGGUUAGUACUUGGAUGGGAGACCACCUAGGAACACCAGGUGCUAUAGUUG